rnacentral:misc_RNA from 1 species
CCCUGGGGCCGCUGGCACGCGUCGGCUGCGUCGUGCUCACCGAGGAGGAGGCCGACCGGCUGGAAACCAACCGAGACGGCAGUCGCCUGGCGGAGCGGAUCGCCAGCCGGCGCACCACACCCAGCUCCCGGCAGCCCUCGUCGCCCGCGACGUGCCCCAACGGCGUCACGUACUUCGACGGCUGCAACUCGUGCUCCUGCGGCACCGAGCAGCUCUGCACGCUGAAGGCUUGCAACGAUGACACGAUCGUCCAUAUAUUCGACCCAUGUCAUGGCAUAACAUGUGGCUAUCACCAACGCUGUCAGGCAAUCUGUGUGGGGCAGGUGUGCCAACUCAGACCGCUAUGCGUGUCAGACGACUCGCCAACCUGCCACAACUGUCCCUGGCUCUGCGUCGACGAGAGGCUAGGCUGCAACGACAACUUCAGCGGCGUCGCCUGCAAGCCGAGUCUGUCCUGCUACAAGCCCAACAUCUAACCUUACCGGCGGCGCAGCUGAAUGCCGUUUUACGUCCUCGGACAUCUCGAAUAUGGUCGUGACUAAAAAAGCGCAUUUAUUGGAACGGUUUUGCAACUUGGCGCGGUACUUCGAUGUCAUAAACUAUUUGUUGACGUG